AUUGAACGCUGGCGGCAGGCCUAACACAUGCAAGUCGAGCGGAUGAAGGGAGCUUGCUCCUGGAUUCAGCGGCGGACGGGUGAGUAAUGCCUAGGAAUCUGCCUGGUAGUGGGGGAUAACGUCCGGAAACGGGCGCUAAUACCGCAUACGUCCUGAGGGAGAAAGUGGGGGAUCUUCGGACCUCACGCUAUCAGAUGAGCCUAGGUCGGAUUAGCUAGUUGGUGGGGUAAAGGCCUACCAAGGCGACGAUCCGUAACUAGUCUGAGAGGAUGAUCAGUCACACUGGAACUGAGACACGGUCCAGACUCCUACGGGAGGCAGCAGUGGGGAAUAUUGGACAAUGGGCGAAAGCCUGAUCCAGCCAUGCCGCGUGUGUGAAGAAGGUCUUCGGAUUGUAAAGCACUUUAAGUUGGGAGGAAGGGCAGUAAGUUAAUACCUUGCUGUUUUGACGUUACCAACAGAAUAAGCACCGGCUAACUUCGUG
rnacentral:rRNA from 1 species